AAAUUGAAGAGUUUGAUCAUGGCUCAGAUUGAACGCUGGCGGCAGGCCUAACACAUGCAAGUCGAACGGUAACAGGAAACAGCUUGCUGUUUCGCUGACGAGUGGCGGACGGGUGAGUAAUGUCUGGGAAACUGCCUGAUGGAGGGGGAUAACUACUGGAAACGGUAGCUAAUACCGCAUAAUGUCGCAAGACUAAAGAGGGGGACCUUCGGGCCUCUUGCCAUCGGAUGUGCCCAGAUGGGAUUAGCUAGUAGGUGGGGUAACGGCUCACCUAGGCGACGAUCCCUAGCUGGUCUGAGAGGAUGACCAGCCACACUGGAACUGAGACACGGUCCAGACUCCUACGGGAGGCAGCAGUGGGGAAUAUUGCACAAUGGGCGCAAGCCUGAUGCAGCCAUGCCGCGUGUAUGAAGAAGGCCUUCGGGUUGUAAAGUACUUUCAGCGGGGAGGAAGGGAGUAAAGUUAAUACCUUUACUCAUUGACGUUACCCGCAGAAGAAGCACCGGCUAACUCCGUGCCAGCAGCCGCGGUAAUACGGAG
rnacentral:rRNA from 1 species